AUGAGGUCUCUAAUGGCCUCCGCAACAGUCACUCUUGUGUUAGCAAUACUGUCUCUAAGCUUGCCAUCUCAAAUCUCAGCUGAUACCUACUUGUACUCAUCACCUCCUCCUCCCAAGAAGCCCUAUUAUUAUCACUCUCCUCCACCACCUUCACCUCCUCCACCUAAGCCAUACUACUAUCAUUCACCACCACCACCUUCACCUCCUCCACCCAAGCCAUACUACUAUCACUCACCACCACCACCUUCACCUCCUCCACCUAAACCAUACUACUAUCACUCACCACCACCACCUUCACCUCCUCCACCUAAACCAUACUACUAUCACUCACCACCACCACCUUCACCUCCUCCACCUAAACCAUACUACUAUCACUCACCACCACCACCUUCACCUCCUCCACCUAAGUCAUAUUACUAUCACUCACCACCACCACCACCCAAAAAGAAGCCAUACUACUACCAUUCUCCCCCACCACCUUCACCACCUCCUCCUAAGCCAUACUACUAUCACUCUCCCCCACCGCCUUCACCUCCUCCACCUACGCCAUACUACUAUCAUUCUCCCCCACCACCCUCACCACCUCCACCUAAGCCAUACUACUACCAUUCACCACCACCCCCACCGAAGAAGAAGCCUUACUACUACCACUCUCCACCACCACCUUCACCUCCUCCUCCAAAGAAGCCAUACUACUACCACUCCCCACCUCCUCCCAAGAAGCCCUACAAAUAUUCAUCUCCCCCACCUCCAGUGCACCCUUACCCUCAUCCUCACCCCCAUCCCCAUCCACACCCCCACCCUCACCCUCCCUACGUUUACAAAUCUCCUCCCCCACCCCCUAAGAAGCCAUACAAGUACCCAUCCCCACCACCUCCAGUCCACGUUUACCCUCACCCUCACCCGCAUCCACACCCUCACCCUCAACCUCACCCCCAUCCACAACCCCACCCUCCCUACAUUUAUCAGUCUCCUCCAC
rnacentral:lncRNA from 1 species